GCGGACGUGGCGAAACUGGUAGACGCGCAUGCCUAAGGAGCAUGUGGCCUUAAAAGCCUUGGGGGUUCGAGUCCUCUCGUCCGCACUA
rnacentral:tRNA from 2 species